rnacentral:tRNA from 2 species
GCCGAGGUGGCGAAAUGGCAGACGCACUGGCUUCAGGUGCCAGCGAUCGCAAGGUCAUGGGGGUUCGACUCCCCCCCUCGGCA